AACGAACGCUGGCGGCAUGCCUAACACAUGCAAGUCGAACGACACCUUCGGGUCUAGUGGCGCACGGGUGCGUAACGCGUGGGAACCUGCCCUUAGGUUCGGAAUAACUCCCCGAAAGGGGUGCUAAUACCGGAUAAUGUCUUCGGACCAAAGAUUUAUCGCCUUUGGAUGGGCCCGCGUUGGAUUAGCUAGUUGGUAGGGUAAAAGCCUACCAAGGCGACGAUCCAUAGCUGGUCUGAGAGGAUGAUCAGCCACACUGGGACUGAGACACGGCCCAGACUCCUACGGGAGGCAGCAGUGGGGAAUAUUGGAAAAUGGGCGAAAGCCUGAUCCAGCAAUGCCGCGUGAGUGAUGAAGGCCUUAGGGUUGUAAAGCUCUUUUACCCGGGAUGAUAAUGACAGUACCGGGAGAAUAAGCUCCGGCUAACUCCGUG
rnacentral:rRNA from 1 species